rnacentral:rRNA from 1 species
GGGUGAGUAAUGCGUAGGAAGCUACCCGACAGAGGGGGAUACCAGUUGGAAACGACUGUUAAUACCGCAUAAUGUCUACGGACCAAAGUGUGGGACCUUCGGGCCACAUGCUGUCGGAUGCGCCUACGUGGGAUUAGCUAGUUGGUGAGGUAAUGGCUCACCAAGGCGACGAUCCCUAGCUGGUUUGAGAGGAUGAUCAGCCACACUGGAACUGAGACACGGUCCAGACUCCUACGGGAGGCAGCAGUGGGGAAUAUUGGACAAUGGGCGAAAGCCUGAUCCAGCCAUGCCGCGUGUGUGAAGAAGGCCUUCGGGUUGUAAAGCACUUUCAGUAGGGAGGAAGAGUUGAGUGUUAAUAGUACUCAGCUUUGACGUUACCUACAGAAGAAGCACCGGCUAACUCUGUGCCAGCAGCCGCGGUAAUACAGAGGGUGCAAGCGUUAAUCGGAAUUACUGGGCGUAAAGCGCACGCAGGCGGUUGGUUAAGUCAGAUGUGAAAGCCCCGGGCUCAACCUGGGAAUUGCAUUUGAAACUGGCCAACUAGAGUACGUGAGAGGGGGGUAGAAUUCCAAGUGUAGCGG